rnacentral:rRNA from 1 species
GGAAUAUUGGACAAUGGGGGCAACCCUGAUCCAGCCAUGCCGCGUGCGUGAAGAAGGCCUUAGGGUUGUAAAGCGCUUUCGGCGGGGAAGAUGAUGACGGUACCCGCAGAAGAAGCCCCGGCUAACUCCGUGCCAGCAGCCGCGGUAAUACGGAGGGGGCAAGCGUUGUUCGGAAUUACUGGGCGUAAAGCGCACGUAGGCGGCUCUGCAAGUCGGGUGUGAAAUCCCCGGGCUCAACCUGGGAACUGCAUUCGAUACUGCAUUGCUAGAGUAUGGGAGAGGGAAGUGGAAUUUCCGGUGUAGCGGUGAAAUGCGUAGAUAUCGGAAGGAACACCAGUGGCGAAAGCGACUUCCUGGACCAAUACUGACGCUCAGGUGCGAAAGCGUGGGGAGCAAAC